UACAGAGGGUGCGAGCGUUAAUCGGAAUUACUGGGCGUAAAGCGCACGUAGGCGGCUUGGUAUGUCGGGUGUGAAAUCCCCGGGCUCAACCUGGGAACUGCAUCCGAAACUGCCUUGCUCGAGUAUGGGAGAGGGAAGUGGAAUUUCCGGUGUAGCGGUGAAAUGCGUAGAUAUCGGAAGGAACAUCAGUGGCGAAGGCGACUUCCUGGACCAAUACUGAUGCUCAGGUGCGAAAGCGUGGGGAGCAAACAGG
rnacentral:rRNA from 1 species